GGGCCCGUAGCUCAGCCAGGUAGAGCGGCGGGCUUUUAACCGCAAAGGGUUGCGGAAAGCAACCCGUAGGUCCCGGGUUCGAAUCCCGGCGGGCCCG
rnacentral:tRNA from 13 species